CAGAUGGAGUACUUCUCAAUAUUUUACGAUCCUCUGAGUGCUCGAUUAAUGAGAGAAAUUGCACUUUUUCAUGGUGAAUUGGAGGCAAGCUGAUGGAAACGUGAUUUUUACAUCAAGAAUUUUCCGAAAUUUUUUGAAGAGAAAGGCAAACGGAAAAUUUUCAUUCUACCAAAUUUAUCCGGCCUUAUGAAUUAUAAAAGUAUCAAGACUGUUCUCCUUUUAGAUCAUUGUAAAAUUAGACGACUCAGAUAAUUCAGUACCGAAAGGGUGAAUAAGUGAUACGUGUUGAUUAAAAACCGAUCGGACUGACAGAGAGAGAGAGACAGUAGCAUUAACUAGGAAAUUGACAAAAAUUAUUCGAAUGGAGAUUUCCGAUGAAAACAUUGUUGGUGAUUUUUUAAAUGAAAAAAAAAAUGGGGGCAGGCAGAGAGUGGCUACAGCAAGAGAUACACACAUUAUAUUACAUGGCUCGAGACAACGCGGACAGUUAUGGGUAUUAUAUAGGGUGGUAUAUAUGUGUAUGAGGUUUAACGUCGAGUUGGACAGUUACGCGAACUCGGAUAAUGCAGUUUUCAUCGAGAAAGUUGGUGUCCCAACGUUGGAAUGGGCAACUAGCCGAACUCAGAGAGAGGAUCGCCAGAGGCUAAACGUUCAGUCGCGCGUAUACUACGGGAUCACUCCACCCAAGGGCAACACGGAAAAACCCGUGAGGGGAGAAUUAGAAUCAACGUGAAUCCUCACAUAGCACUGAGGAUGGAUUAAUUUUGGCAGAGGCUGAAAAUUAUAUAAGAAGAGGACUCGUGGACUUGAUGGGAUGAAGUGAAAAGUGCUGGGAGAAUAGGCCACCCCCUAUUCUAGUUGUGUGCGCCCACCCGCCUCAUCUUGAAUCAUAAAGCCAACUCGACAAUUAAUACUGACGCCCCAGGGUUAUUUGACGACGUUUAAUAUUAUGCAACGCUCCAUUAUUCUGGCCGUAACUGUUAGGCGGCUGACAGCUCCCUUUUUCCUGCAUCAACCAAAAGCUUCAUACCUACCUACCUUCAUUCAAUCAAGUGAAUUUUCAGACUAUUGAAAAAUUCGUCAUUUUCAUUUUCACCCGUCAUACGAUUCUUUAUACGUGCCAUCCCGAUCCCGAGUCUCAGUAGAGCCCCAGCCCGACCCAUCGUAAUAGCCUUCAUAUCAAAGCUAAAUGUAGAAUGUGAUUUUCCUUUCUUAUUACCAUUCGUAUGAAGGGUGAAUUAUAUGAAAAUCAUAAAGACCUUUCGAGGGCGGAGGCAACCUAUGAUAUUUCUGACACUCAAUUUCCACACCCUCAUCGCGCCUAUGUCACAUUCUUUACGAUGAGAUUAUAUCGACAGGUAGACUAUAUCUGUUGAGCAUCCCAAGGGAAACGAUAGUCGCGAUGGGGUGGAUGUCACGGCAACUCUUGAUGCCUGGAUACAUAUACUCUCAAUCCUCUACAAGAGUCACUCUUCAAAUUUAUCAAAUCCCACCGAUUCAAGCCUUUUUCCUCCACUCCCUUAUCAAUUUAUUCGCCAUAUCUAUUACCACUGAGAAGAAGAGAUUUCAUUUUCAGGGAUUCACGUUCAAACAAUCAUUCACUAAAAAUCACUCAUCUUCGUUACUCUCCACCCUGUAAAGCCCUGAAAAUUGGUACUUCUUUAUCUCUGACAUGUAUAUAAAAUGAAUUAAUUGCAAUUCUAAUUAACGUGAUCAAUAUUGCAUUUUAUCUAGCAAAUGGGGUAUGCACAUUAAGAUAAUUAAUUAAAAGUAAUGUGACGAUGGAAGUUAGUUAAUUGAAAUCUAGGAGACUCAUUCAUUAUUCAGUUAGUUAUUCAAUACUGUGUUAGUCCACAAAUGAUAUUUCAUUCGGUUGCAGUUAGCAUUUGGUGAAUGAUUAGUGAAUUGUCAAGAUAAUAAUUUAAGUUGUACAGACAGCGUGUGAAUUGAUAAGAAAAUAAUAUUGAAAGAUAGAUAGAGAGGUUGAUAGAGAAAAAAUGCUACAGGCUAUAUAUCCUAUUUUUUUUUUUUUCUUUAAACCAAACAA